rnacentral:lncRNA from 1 species
CAACAAUUUGGAAAACACAACAUUUUAGAAAAAACAACAAGAAAUUGGAAAAACAACAACAUUUUGUAGAACAUAACAUUUCGGAAAACACAACAACAUUUCGGAAAACACAACAUUUUGGAAAAAACAACAACAAUUUGGAAAAAAACAACAACAUUUUUAAAAACACAACUUCAUUUUGGAAAACAACAAUAUUUUGGAGAAAACAACAACCAUUUGGAAAACACAACAGCAUUUCACAAAACACAACAACAUUUUGGAGUAAACAAUAACAACCUGUUGGAAAACACAACAUUUUGGAAACAACAACAAUUUGAAAAAAACACAACAAUAUUUUGGAGAAAACAACAACAUUUUGGAAAAAAACAACAACAUUUUGGAAAACACAACAAUAUUUUGGAGAAAAAACAACAACAUUUCACAAAACACAACAACAAUACAAUUUCAACAACAUUGACUGUUUUUAUAUAAAAUGUUAUGUUUUCCUAAAUGCUGUUGUGUUUUGACCCUCCGAGCCACCGUACAAACCAGCUGGUCUGGUGAGCGCACAAGAGAAGGUGACGGUGAUGAUGAAAUGUUUGGCGUGUUGAGUCGGGUGUAUUUCAAUAUUUAGACGGUGAGAUUAGCGAGAACGAGCUUUAUUAUCAUUAAUUGCAGACUGAAAGAUAAAUCAGAUAACUGCUCGGCUUUGAACUUGAUGACUUUGCUUUGACUUUUCGUUGGACUGCAUCCUGCGAAGCACAGAGCUGUUUUGAGUCGCCUGCCAAAGUUUGGAUCAUAACACGGCUUUGUGAUUCUCCAGCCGCAACCUGCUGAAUGGCCUCCAGAAAAGGCCCCCGAUUCAUCAUCCCCCUUCAUAAACAGUCAUUAAUGUUUAUGGCAGGUGUCGUGACAUGUUUACGACAGCAUUAUGUCUGCUUUACGAGACCACUGUCAAGUCAGGUUUUACGACUGCGGCACUCGGAGGCGGCGAGGGGACCGCUGGCAGCCCGUCCGCGAGUUUUCUGGACGCUCCUGCUUCACCGACUCCCAGCACCGUCAGCGCUCCGUCUCGGGGAGGAUGUGAUGUCACAGCCUCAUAUCAGCAACAAAAGCGAAGGCUGCUGAAUAGGUUGAUUCAUCUCAUCUCUGGAGAGAGAUUCCUGCCAUGUCUGCUGCACUCCAUCUCUCGUGUCUUUCAUCCCUCUCGUCUCUCCCGCCGCCAUGACAGUGAUUAAUGACCCUCAGCUGCCGUGUGCCUCCUCGCUGACACUCCCAUCUUUCUUUCUCUUCCUCUCUGCGCUCACAAGAAACAAGGAUUAAAGUGGGAGAAUCGGGCCAACAAAAAAAAAAGAAACGAUUGAUGCCACAUGUUGUCAGCGGGGGUAGAAAGGUUGGAAAAUCCCUCUGACAUUGGUCAACAUUUUAGAUUAUUCGUAUAAAGCGUUCAUACCGACUAGACGACCAGACUCAUGUGUCCGAGCUGUGUUGAGACCGUGUGAGGAUCAACAGGUCGGUCUGAUCACGGCAUCACUCCUGAUCCUGUGUGUCGCACAGUAUCAGGAGACGUCAGGAGGGGAAAGGAAAGAAGAGGUCAACAUUUCAUCCAGCCUGAGUUCACUCAGUGAGGACUGCCAAGCUUAUAAAAAUGUUCAAGGAGGUUGGCAGUCAUGAGAUAAGAGUAAAUGGUACAAACGUGUCUUUGCAGUGAACUGUGUGACCUUGUUGUUGAUAGCGGCCAAGCUAGCAGGUUUGCUAACUGAAUUUUAACUUUAACUCUUUUUUGAGGAAACUUGCUACUGGAGAGUUAGCACGCUUUUACAUCUACAACUGAUAGUUAGCACGCCCAUUAGCUUAAAAAUCUUUCUAAAGUGGUCAAAAACAAAAACAAAGAAAUACAAGGAGGUUUAAAUGUAACAGUACAGAGAAAACUAUGAGCUAGUUAGCUAGCGAGCUUGCUACUGGAGAGUUAGCACGCUCGUUAGGAGAGAUUUUCAAAUGUAUCCUUAAUUUAACUAUUUUUUUAAGGAAAUGAUCCAAACUACAAGCCCAAGGAUGCGUAAACAUCAUAGUAGCCUACAGAGAAGCUAGCUAGCUAACAAGCUAGAACUUGCUAAGGACCAGUUAGCAUACUUGUUAGUUUGUAGAGAUUUCUCCUUCUUUGACUCAACUCUUCUUUUAAGGAAAUGAUCCCAACAACAGACACAAGGAGGAAUAAAUGUACGAGAAUCAAACAUAUAUUCAUUUAUCAAUCAAUUUAUUUAUCUAACAACGUUUACAUCUACAGCUUCAGAAGGUUAUUAAUCUUUCUGAUCAACAAAACAGAUAAAGACAAAAACACUAAAGGGAUUUUUCACGAUCUGGCAACUUAUUAAUGCCUUAUUACACAUAUGUAAAGCCAUAAUAGGUACAACUAAAUAAAACGUAUUAUACCAGGCCCAGUGUAACACUAAGAGGUGAGCCAGUGUUAGCGUCAGUAGCAGCAGGAUGCUAACAGCACGUAGUUACACCUCGUUCUUCAGAGUGACAGUCUUCAUUUGGAUUGUUCCUCCUUCGGUGUCUGAACUGUUCACGCUCAAACGAGAGGCUUCCUCACAGGAUGUGCAGGUGAUGAGAGGCAGAGAAACAUCUCUCACCCGCCGUGUCACUUCCUGUUCCUCUGUCACUCCGUUCCUGCAUUUGUCCCGACGCGUCUCCGUCCACCUGAUGCCCAGGUGUCGGAGCGGAGCGUCUCCUCCUCACUCAGCGUCCUGACAGGUGACAGACAGCCGGCCCACGAGGACGACACACAGCUCUGUUUAUCCGUCUGCUUCUUCCCUUUACAGACGAGCUACAGCUGAAACCAUCCCUCCAAAUAUAUUUAAAAAUGCAACAAAGGGUUGGGAGGUGAUGACUGAAUGAAUCUGCGCCUUACAAAACAGAUUUUUGCAUUUGGCUGAGGUGGAAAAGUUCUGGGAAACUGAGUAUUUUUCCACAUUUCAUUCGUUUUAGAGAAAAGUGAAAGUAAAUUGGUACACAACCUCAAUAUGCAGUAAACAUUAAAUAGAUGGUGUAUGACACAGUUAUUUUCUUUUUCAGAGAUCCUUUCUUGAUUUGCUUGGGAAGAGGAUUCACUCUGGACAGAUCUGUGAAUCCAAACUUCGUACUGAACUGAAUUUUUCUCUUUUGUCGUGGUAUUUCUUUUGAUUUAAGAACUUCCUGCAAAAACCCACAAGGAUAAAGUCAAG